UGCUAUCAUGCAAGUCGAGCGACUGAUUAGAAGCUUGCUUCUAUGACGUUAGCGGCGGACUUAGCGGCGGACGGGUGAGUAACACGUGGGCAACCUGCCUGUAAGACUGGGAUAACUUCGGGAAACCGAAGCUAAUACCGGAUAGGAUCUUCUCCUUCAUGGGAGAUGAUUGAAAGAUGGUUUCGGCUAUCACUUACAGAUGGGCCCGCGGUGCAUUAGCUAGUUGGUGAGGUAACGGCUCACCAAGGCAACGAUGCAUAGCCGACCUGAGAGGGUGAUCGGCCACACUGGGACUGAGACACGGCCCAGACUCCUACGGGAGGCAGCAGUAGGGAAUCUUCCGCAAUGGACGAAAGUCUGACGGAGCAACGCCGCGUGAGUGAUGAAGGCUUUCGGGUCGUAAAACUCUGUUGUUAGGGAAGAACAAGUACGAGAGUAACUGCUCGUACCUUGACGGUACCUAACCAGAAAGCCACGGCUAACUACGUGCCAGCAGCCGCGGUAAUACGUAGGUGGCAAGCGUUAUCCGGAAUUAUUGGGCGUAAAGCGCGCGCAGGCGGUUUCUUAAGUCUGAUGUGAAAGCCCACGGCUCAACCGUGGAGGGUCAUUGGAAACUGGGGAACUUGAGUGCAGAAGAGAAAAGCGGAAUUCCACGUGUAG
rnacentral:rRNA from 1 species